rnacentral:rRNA from 1 species
CACCGGCAGCUCAAGUGUUAGCCAUUUUUAUUGGGCCUAAAGCGUUCGUAGCCGGUUUGAUAAGUCUCUGGUGAAAUCCCACAGCUUAACUGUGGGAAUUGCUGGAGAUACUAUUAGACUUGAGGUCGGGAGAGGUUAGCGGUACUCCCAGGGUAGGGGUGAAAUCCUGUAAUCCUGGGAGGACCACCUGUGGCGAAGGCGGCUAACUGGAACGAACCUGACGGUGAGGGACGAAAGCCAGGGGCGCGAACCGG